AUUCUUUGGUGCAUAAAUAUGAUGAUAGAGUUUUUACACUCAUGUAAGAGAUGCACCUCCUUCAAACCUUUUUACAACAUCAGUACAUUACCCAUCUGACA